GUGAGGAAUUUUGCGCAAUGGGGGCAACCCUGACGCAGCGACGCCGCGUGGAGGACGAAGUCUUUCGGGAUGUAAACUCCUGUCAGUGGGGACGAUAAUGACGGUACCCACAGAGGAAGCACCGGCUAACUCCGUGCCAGCAGCCGCGGUAAGACGGAGGGUGCAAGCGUUGUUCGGAAUUACUGGGCGUAAAGCGUAUGUAGGCGGCAAGUUAAGUUCAAUGUUAAAGCCCACGGCUCAACCGAGGAGAUGCAUUGAAUACUGGCUAGCUAGAGGGUGUUAGAGGAAGACGGAAUUCCCAGUGUAGCGGUGAAAUGCGUAGAUAUUGGGAGGAACAUCGGUAGCGAAAGCGGUCUUCUGGGACAUACCUGACGCUGAGGUACGAAAGCGUGGGGAGCAAACGGGAUUAGAAACCCGGGUAGUCC
rnacentral:rRNA from 1 species